rnacentral:rRNA from 1 species
AUUGAACGCUGGCGGCAUGCCUUACACAUGCAAGUCGAACGGUAACAGGUCUUCGGAUGCUGACGAGUGGCGAACGGGUGAGUAAUACAUCGGAACGUGCCUAGUAGUGGGGGAUAACUACUCGAAAGAGUGGCUAAUACCGCAUGAGAUCUACGGAUGAAAGCAGGGGAUCGCAAGACCUUGUGCUACUAGAGCGGCCGAUGGCAGAUUAGGUAGUUGGUGGGAUAAAAGCUUACCAAGCCGACGAUCUGUAGCUGGUCUGAGAGGACGAUCAGCCACACGGGGACUGAGACACGGGCCAGAGUCCUACGGGAGGCAGCAGUGGGGAAUUUUGGACAAUGGGCGCAAGCCUGAUCCAGCAAUGCCGCGUGCAGGAUGAAGGACUUCGGGUUGUAAACUGCUUUUGUACGGAACGAAAAGCCCCGGGUUAAUACCCUGGGGUCAUGACGGUACCGUAAGAAUAAGCACCGGCUAACUACGUGCCAGCCGCCGCCGUAA